GUAGGUGGCAAGCGUUGUCCGGAAUUAUUGGGCGUAAAGCGCGCGCAGGCGGUUCUUUAAGUCUGAUGUGAAAGCCCACGGCUCAACCGUGAAGGGUCAUUGGAAACUGGAGAACUUGAGUACAGAAGAGGAAAGCGGAAUUCCACGUGUAGCGGUGAAAUGCGUAGAGAUGUGGAGGAACACCAGUGGCGAAGGCGGCUUUCUGGUCUGUAACUGACGCUGAGGCGCGAAAGCGUGGGGAGCAAACAGGAUUAGAUACCCUGGUAGUCCACGCCGUAAACGAUGAGUGCUAAGUGUUAGGGGGUUUCCGCCCCCCUUAGUGCUGCAGCUAACGCAUUAAGCACUCCGCCUGGGAGUACGGCCGCAAGGCUG
rnacentral:rRNA from 1 species